rnacentral:rRNA from 1 species
UAAGCCGUUGAAGGUGAAUCGUAAGGUUUGCUGGAGGUAUCAGAAGUGCGAAUGCUGACAUGAGUAACGACAAAGGGGGUGAAAAACCUCCUCGCCGGAAGACCAAGGGUUCCUGUCCAACGUUAAUCGGGGCAGGGUGAGUCGACCCCUAAGGUGAGGCCGAAAGGCGUAAUCGAUGGGAAACGGGUUAAUAUUCCCGUACUUCUGACUAUUGCGAUGGGGGGACGGAGAAGGCUAGGUGGGCCAGGCGACGGUUGUCCUGGUUCAAGUGCGUAGGCUUGAGAGUUAGGUAAAUCCGGCUCUCUCUAAGGCUGAGACACGACGUCGAGCUGCUACGGCAGUGAAGUCAUUGAUGCCAUGCUUCCAGGAAAAGCCUCUAAGCUUCAGAUAGUCAGGAAUCGUACCCCAAACCGACACAGGUGGUCGGGUAGAGAAUACCAAGGCGCUUGAGAGAACUCGGGUGAAGGAACUAGGCAAAAUGGUACCGUAACUUCGGGAGAAGGUACGCUCUUGAUGGUGAAGUCCCUCGCGGAUGGAGCUGACGAGAGUCGCAGAUACCAGGUGGCUGCAACUGUUUAUUAAAAACACAGCACUGUGCAAAAUCGCAAGAUGACGUAUACGGUGUGACGCCUGCCCGGUGCCGGAAGGUUAAUUGAUGGGGUUAGCGCAAGCGAAGCUCUUGAUCGAAGCCCCGGUAAACGGCGGCCGUAACUAUAACGGUCCUAAGGUAGCGAAAUUCCUUGUCGGGUAAGUUCCGACCUGCACGAAUGGCGUAAUGAUGGCCACGCUGUCUCCACCCGAGACUCAGUGAAAUUGAAAUCGCUGUGAAGAUGCAGUGUACCCGCGGCUAGACGGAAAGACCCCGUGAACCUUUACUACAGCUUGGCACUGAACAUUGAACCUACAUGUGUAGGAUAGGUGGGAGGCUAUGAAGACGUGACGCCAGUUGCGUUGGAGCCGUCCUUGAAAUACCACCCUUGU